AUUGAACGCUGGCGGCAGGCCUAACACAUGCAAGUCGAACGAGAGGCGGACGGGUGAGUAAUGUCUGGGGACUGCCCGAUAGAGGGGGAUAACUACUGGAGACGGUAGCUAAUACCGCAUACUAUAGGAUUGCCCAUAUGGGGUUAGCUAGUAGGUGAGGUAAUGUCUCACCUAGGCGACGAUCCCUCUCUGGUCGGAGAGGAUGAUCAACCACACUGGGACUGAGACACGGCCCAGACUCCUACGGAGGCAGCAGUGGGGAAUAUUGCACAAUGGGCGCAAGCCUGAUGCAGCCAUGCCGCGUGUAUGAAGAAGGCCUUAGGGUUGUAAAGUACUUUCAGGCGGGAGGCGUUAACGACAGAAGAAGCACCGGCUAACUCCGUGCCAGCCGCCGCGGUAAUUC
rnacentral:rRNA from 1 species